rnacentral:lncRNA from 1 species
CGAAUAUUUUUAAAUUUACACACGGAGAGUUCCGAAAAGCCAAUAAUAAAAACUACUUGAUUGUCGUGACAAAAACUAAUGGCGAUAUAAUAAAAUUAAGAAUAACAAUGUCAUGGCAUGGUUUUAUAAUAAUUAAGUGUUGUGAAUGUAAAGCAAUUUUUGAUUUUAAAUAUAGGAGUAAGUUUUAGACUUAACAAAGAUGACAGACUGUGAUAAAUUUUAUCAACAUUAUAAUAUAACAUCAUUGAUGAUACAAUCUCAAUAAGUUUCUCCCUGAUGAAGGACAUAACCAUGUCCGAAAGCUUGGAA